rnacentral:rRNA from 1 species
UACGUAGGUGGCAAGCGUUGUCCGGAUUUACUGGGCGUAAAGAGCGCGCAGGCGGUCGUUCAAGUCGCGUGUGAAAGCCCCCGGCUCAACUGGGGAGGGUCACGCGAUACUGAUCGACUCGAAGGCAGGAGAGGGAAGUGGAAUUCCCGGUGUAGUGGUGAAAUGCGUAGAUAUCGGGAGGAACACCAGUGGCGAAGGCGGCGACCUGGACGGACACUGACGCUGAGGAGCGAAAGCGUGGGGAGCAAACAGG